GCAGUUGGUCGAGUGGUCAAAGGCGCUGGUCUUGAAAACCUGAGAUCCAUACGGGUCCGUGGGUUCGAAUCCCACACUGCC
rnacentral:tRNA from 1 species